CCUUGCUGUCACUUAUAGAUGGAUCCGCGCCGUAUUAGCUAGUUGGUAAGGUAACGGCUUACCAAGGCGACCAUACGUAGCCGACCUGAGAGGGUGAUCGGCCACACUGGAACUGAGCCACGAUCCAACUCUCUACGGGAGGCAGCAGUAGGGAAUCUUCCGCAAUGGGCGAAAGCCUGACGGAGCAACGCCGCGUGAGUGAUGAAGGUCUUCGGAUCGUAAAACUCUGUUAUCAGGGAAGAACAAACGUGUAAGUAACUGUGCACGUCUUGACGGUACCUGAUCAGAAAGCCACGGCUAACUACGUGCCAGCAGCCGCGGUAAUACGUAGGUGGCAAGCGUUAUC
rnacentral:rRNA from 1 species